ensembl:lncRNA
ACUACAACUGAACUAAAACAUUAAUUAUGCUAUAGAUUUUUUCCCCUAUAUGUAAUCAGCUGUUAGAAUAUGAAAUAUUAGCUUAAUUUGGUUAAAGAAAUCAAAACAUCUUUCUUACAAAAAUGCAUCGAUUCGCUACAGGAGGCCUUUGUUCACCCCCUGGAGCCAUGUGAGACACUUUUUAUUAUAGAUGGAUGUGCUUUAGUUCACGUCUUUUGGACUGAUACACUCUACACCCACUGAUUGCCGUUAAACAGCUUGAACGAUCAAAGACAAUUUUUAAUAUAACUCCUACUGGAUUCGUCUGAAAGAAGAAAGUCAUAUACGUAAUUUAUGGGCUAAUUUUCAUUUUUGGGUGAACUAACCCUUUAAGCUUUUUGCAAUAGUCCAGAGUGAGUUUUUUUCUGAUUAAUAUACUCAUGUAAACCAGUAUAGAGAUGAUGUCAAGUUAUAACAUCACUAUGUUAAAUGUGGUAUUUUAUAUUUGAAUGACAUGUACCUUCAACAAACAAACCUUUCUUUAAAGUUUGCAAAUAAUGUAAAACGACUUCCUGUAAUUCUGAUAAAUUGUCUCUGCAGUUUCAACAUCAAAUACCACUGAACAAACUAUUACAGCAGCCAUGAAAACCUUGCUGGUUUCCACUGGUCUUACUGUAAUUUUGUCUGGACUCAUGGGACUCAUCUGUCUGUGCCGCUUUGCAUGUAAGUAUUUUAAUGACAAUUUUUAUUUAUUCAUAUGCACAGGAAUAAAAACUGAAAAUAUAAUACAUUAUCUCAUUGUUUUUUUAGGUAAAAAAAGAAGAAAACUGUAAGUAAUUUAAUUCAUUUAAGUACUUAGUAGUAUUGUUUCUUUUUCGUAAAAAAAAAAAAAAAAAAAAGUAUAUCCAUGAGCUGGAGCUGUAAAUGAUUAGCUUCUUAUCUGAUAUAAACAUAUGAAUCAUACAUACAGUAUACUAUAAAGUUUUAAUGUUGAUUCUUAGAAAUAAAACAAGACCAAUAAAAACCA